UACGUAGGGUGCAAGCGUUAAUCGGAAUUACUGGGCGUAAAGCGUGCGCAGGCGGUUUUGUAAGUCUGUCGUGAAAUCCCCGGGCUUAGCCUGGGAAUGGCGAUGGAGACUGCAAGGCUAGAGUUUGGCAGAGGGGGGUAGAAUUCCACGUGUAGCAGUGAAAUGCGUAGAGAUGUGGAGGAACACCGAUGGCGAAGGCAGCCCCCUGGGUCAAAACUGACGCUCAUGCACGAAAGCGUGGGGAGCAAACAGG
rnacentral:rRNA from 1 species